UUUUGUUCNAGNACCAAACCUGGNGGGGUCCUUAUACAUGCAAGUCGAACGCNCAGCGAAAGGUGCUUGCACNUUUCAAGUGAGUGGCGAACGGGUGAGUAACACGUGGACANCCUGCCUCAAGGCUGGGGAUAACAUUUGGAAACAGAUGCUAAUACCGAAUGAAACUUAGUGUCGCAUGAUACGAAGUUAAAAGGCGCUUUGGCGUCACCUAGAGAUGGAUCCGCGGUGCAUUAGUUAGUUGGUGGGGUAAAGGCCUACCAAGACAAUGAUGCAUAGCCGAGUUGAGAGACUGAUCGGCCACAUUGGACUGAGACACGCC
rnacentral:rRNA from 1 species